AUAGCGUAUAUUAAAGUUGUUGCAGUUAAAAAGCUCGUAGUUGAACUUCAGACCUGGUCGGGCGGUCUGCUUAACGGCAUGUACUGUCUGACUGGGCCUUACCUCUUGGUGAGCCGGCGUGCCCUUUAUUGGUUGUGCGUCGGGGAACCAGGACUUUUACCUUGAGAAAAUUAGAGUGUUCAAAGCAGGCCUAUGCCCGGAUACAUUAGCAUGGAAUAAUAGAAUAGGACGUGCGGUUCUAUUUUGUUGGUUUCUAGAGUCGCCGUAAUGAUUAAUAGGGAUAGUUGGGGGCAUUUGUAUUGCGUUGCUAGAGGUGAAAUUCUUGGAUUUACGCAAGACAAACUAUUG
rnacentral:rRNA from 1 species